AUGCGCGGACGGGUGGAGCAGAGGGCGCGCGCGCAUCCAUAGCUGCCGCUGCGCGUCGCCUCUCUCAGUUUCUCUCGGACCGUCGCGGAAGACGGACGUGCGCUCCGCGCGCUCGCUCAGUUUCUGGCUGCCUCUCGUAGAGAGCAGACGUGUGUGUUCUCCGCGCUCGCUCAGUUUCUGCCUGGAAGUUGCCGCGGGGGAAAAGAGCUAUGAUGGUGGCGCCAUCUGGUGUGAUGCCUUGCAACUAAGUGGCCACCUGUCGUCGAUCUCUGCAACUGCUGGGUGCAAACUACCAACAUGGCGGACGCUGGUCACUCGGGUGUUGCGGAGCGGCUUCUUCGCCGCGGCAUCGUUGAUUUUCGAAUAAAUUGUUUCUCUCCACUCUA